rnacentral:rRNA from 1 species
GGGAGGUAGUGACAAUAAAUAACAAUACGGGGUUCUUUCAGAUUUCGUAAUUGGAAUGAGUACAAUUUAAAUCCCUCAACGAGGAACAAUUGGAGGGCAAGUCUGGUGCCAGCAGCCGCGGUAAUUCCAGCUCCAAUAGCGUAUAUUAAGUUGUUGCAGUUAAAAAGCUCGUAGUUGUAUUUUGGGGUUAGUAGGUUGGUCAUACCUCUGGUAUGUACUGGCUUCACUGAUUCCUCCUUCCUGAUGAGCCGUAAUGCCAUUAAUUUGGUGUUGCGAGGAAUCUGGACUGUUACUUUGAAAAAUUAGAGUGUUUAAAGCAGGCUCACGCUUGAAUACAUUAGCAUGGAAUAAUGAAAUAGGACGUUUGAUUCUAUUUUGUUGGUUUCUAGGAUCGACGUAAUGAUUAAUAGGGAUAGUUGGG